AAAAAGAUAAACCUGGUUUCCGUGUCCAACGUUUGACCGUCCGUCUUAUUUAAAAAAAUUAUGAAAAAAAUUAAAAAGACAAGUCACGCAUAAAAUAUUAAUAAUGUUUUAUCAUCUAACAACAAGAAAAAUACGAAUUAUAAAAAAAUUUUAUAUAAGACGGACAGUCAAAUUUGGACACGAAAACCCAUGGUUGCCUUUUUU
rfam:Oryza glumipatula chromosome 4, whole genome shotgun sequence.